rnacentral:rRNA from 1 species
CAUGGUUAAGUGGGAAACGAUGUGGGAAGGCCCAGACAGCCAGGAUGUUGGCUUAGAAGCAGCCAUCAUUUAAAGAAAGCGUAAUAGCUCACUGGUCGAGUCGGCCUGCGCGGAAGAUGUAACGGGGCUAAACCAUGCACCGAAGCUGCGGCAGCGACGCUGAUGCGUUGUUGGGUAGGGGAGCGUUCUGUAAGCCUGUGAAGGUGUGCUGUGAGGCAUGCUGGAGGUAUCAGAAGUGCGAAUGCUGACAUAAGUAACGAUAAAGCGGGUGAAAAGCCCGCUCGCCGGAAGACCAAGGGUUCCUGUCCAACGUUAAUCGGGGCAGGGUGAGUCGACCCCUAAGGCGAGGCCGAAAGGCGUAGUCGAUGGGAAACAGGUUAAUAUUCCUGUACUUGGUGUUACUGCGAAGGGGGGACGGAGAAGGCUAUGUUGGCCGGGCGACGGUUGUCCCGGUUUAAGCGUGUAGGCUGGUUUUCCAGGCAAAUCCGGAAAAUCAAGGCUGAGGCGUGAUGACGAGGCACUACGGUGCUGAAGCAACAAAUGCCCUGCUUCCAGGAAAAGCCUCUAAGCAUCAGGUAACAUCAAAUCGUACCCCAAACCGACACAGGUGGUCAGGUAGAGAAUACCAAGGCGCUUGAGAGAACUCGGGUGAAGGAACUAGGCAAAAUGGUGCCGUAACUUCGGGAGAAGGCACGCUGAUAUGUAGGUGAAGCGACUUGCUCGUGGAGCUGAAAUCAGUCGAAGAUACCAGCUGGCUGCAACUGUUUAUUAAAAACACAGCACUGUGCAAACACGAAAGUGGACGUAUACGGUGUGACGCCUGCCCGGUGCCGGAAGGUUAAUUGAUGGGGUCAGCGCAAGCGAAGCUCUUGAUCGAAGCCCCGGUAAACGGCGGCCGUAACUAUAACGGUCCUAAGGUAGCGAAAUUCCUUGUCGGGUAAGUUCCGACCUGCACGAAUGGCGUAAUGAUGGCCAGGCUGUCUCCACCCGAGACUCAGUGAAAUUGAACUCGCUGUGAAGAUGCAGUGUACCCGCGGCAAGACGGAAAGACCCCGUGAACCUUUACUAUAGCUUGACACUGAACAUUGAGCCUUGAUGUGUAGGAUAGGUGGGAGGCUUUGAAGUGUGGACGCCAGUCUGCAUGGAGCCGGCCUUGAAAUACCACCCUUUAAUGUUUGAUGUUCUAACGUUGACCCGUGAUCCGGGUUGCGGACAGUGUCUGGUGGGUAGUUUGACUGGGGCGGUCUCCUCCUAAAGAGUAACGGAGGAGCACGAAGGUUGGCUAAUCCUGGUCGGACAUCAGGAGGUUAGUGCAAUGGCAUAAGCCAGCUUGACUGCGAGCGUGACGGCGCGAGCAGGUGCGAAAGCAGGUCAUAGUGAUCCGGUGGUUCUGAAUGGAAGGGCCAUCGCUCAACGGAUAAAAGGUACUCCGGGGAUAACAGGCUGAUACCGCCCAAGAGUUCAUAUCGACGGCGGUGUUUGGCACCUCGAUGUCGGCUCAUCACAUCCUGGGGCUGAAGUAGGUCCCAAGGGUAUGGCUGUUCGCCAUUUAAAGUGGUACGCGAGCUGGGUUUAGAACGUCGUGAGACAGUUCGGUCCCUAUCUGCCGUGGGCGCUGGAGAACUGAGGGGGGCUGCUCCUAGUACGAGAGGACCGGAGUGGACGCAUCACUGGUGUUCGGGUUGUCAUGCCAAUGGCACUGCCCGGUAGCUAAAUGCGGAAGAGAUAAGUGCUGAAAGCAUCUAAGCACGAAACUUGCCCCGAGAUGAGUUCUCCCUGACUCCUUGAGAGUCCUGAAGGAACGUUGAAGACGACGACGUUGAUAGGCCGGGUGUGUAAGCGCAGCGAUGCGUUGAGCUAACCGGUACUAAUGAACCGUGAGG